ACUCAAAUGAAUUGACGGGGGCCCGCACAAGCGGUGGAGCAUGUGGUUCAAUUCGACGCAACGCGAAGAACCUUACCUGGGCUCGAACGGCUCCCUAACGAUCGUGGAAACACGGUUACCCCGCAAGGGGGUGGAGUCGAGGUGCUGCAUGGCUGUCGUCAGCUCGUGUCGUGAGAUGUUGGGUUAAGUCCCGCAACGAGCGCAACCCUCGCCCUUAGUUGCUAUCCCGCAAGGGAGCACUCUAGGGGGACUGCCACGGAUAACGUGGAGGAAGGUGAGGAUGACGUCAAGUCCUCAUGGCCUUUAUGUCCAGGGCUACACACGUGCUACAAUGGUCGGUACAAUCCGUCGCCAACCCGCGAGGGGGAGCCAAUCGGAAAAAGCCGGCCUCAGUUCGGAUUGCAGUCUGCAACUCGGCUGCAUGAAGCUGGAAUCGCUAGUAAUGGCAGAUCAGCAUGCUGCCGUGAAUACGUUCCCGGGCCUUGCACACACCGCCCGU
rnacentral:rRNA from 1 species